GGAAGUAGACACAUUAGUGUGACGAUUAGUACCAGGUCCACAUGGCUUUGACAUGUACAGGAAUGCAAUGAUGCAAAUACUAGAUCUAGUUCUUUCAAGCUCCAAGUACGAGUGAUGGAGGAAUAUUCUAGCUGUAACAGCUCUUAGUAACAUUCACGUAUUGUAAAUCCAACAAAUCACCUCCAGUUGAUCAGCAAACUCUGCCUUGAGAGUUGAAACUGACGAUACCCUUUUAUGUCGAAACAAGAAACAAUUGAAGAAUCUCCAAAAUAAUGAAGAAAAUGUACGUUGCAUCAAGUGACCCCAACGACCUAUUGUAUGAUGAUAUCUUAAGCAGCACGUUCUGGAUUCUAGGAAAAUAUGACUCGAGGCUGGGAGGAAAAUUGAGGAGCUGAGUUACGUCUCACUACAAGAGGAUAUGCAUCAAUAUAUCGUCCGCUACUGUGCAUGGUUACUCUGAGGACAAGCAUAAGAUUCAAUGGUUGUUCCCACGCAAGAGGAGGAUAAAGUGAGGAAAAGAACUGAUUGAGGGAGUGGAAGAAAAUGGUGACCCUCGCCUUGAGGCAGCACCUCACCAAGCAAGGCUAUCUUGUGGUUGGUUCCUCCGGGGUGAAGAUGUAUCUAUGGACCAAGUCUGUUCUGAGGGGGAGGGGUGAUUGUCACAAGUAUUUGUUCUACAGUAUCGAGAGCCAUUGAUACAUGGAAACCACACCUGGUCUGGCCUGCACCAACAGGCACUAUACCAACCCAGUGGGCACGGAGUGGUGUUGGAAGAUGGACGAUGCGGAUAAAAAAACUCACUACCAAAAUGGUCAAACAAAUUAAAGGUCAGGUUAACAUGCACUAACUGACUGUACGGCUAAUGUCAACAUACACAAUACAAAAAGGUGCUUUGUUAUAGCUAAGUCUGUGCUCGGUGGUUUAAAAACGUAAUUUAGGCUUGUAUCUGUUCAAUAGUUUUGGUCAAAUCGACAGACUCAAUUUUUCCAACCAGCUGCGUCCAAUUGCCGUCUCCCUGCUCGUAGUACGAGUGUGAGGUGUAGGUGCUGCCUCCGAUUAUGCCUGUGUUGUGGAGGUUGUUGGCCGGGUUGGCAGGGUCAACGAUACGGGGGAGCCUGGCUGGAAACAAGUCUGGGUAGUCCCCUGGUUUGUAGUAGUCAACCCAAUAGAUACUGUGUGCAUGCAUAGAUUGGAAAAUACCUUGUGAAAGAAACGUUUGACACUGAAAUUCUGCAUGUGUUGACUUUAGUCAUUUGUCUAAGCAAAAUAAUGUGAUUAUGUUAGUUUUCACAAUUCGCUAACACAUAUAGUGCGUGUGGCUAGUUUUAGACUCAACGUACUCCGCUGUUAGGUGAGAUUUCACUAUCUGCUUCAAAGUGGCUGUUGUUCUGUAGAAACGGAAGCUAAUAAUUAUUUGUACACAAGGGAGUUCCCCUACCGUUGCUCAAUAGUUCCACCAUAGUGCUGUUUCAAUGCCAGCUCAUAAGCUCUAAGCACCAGAAUUGAGAUGAGAUAACUCUUUGGCCUUCCAGUACAUAGCUUCCCCUCAGGCCAUUCUUUGUUCCUCCACGCCUUAGCACGGCGAAUAAGUUCUUUAGCCUGUAGGAUUUUAAGUAUACAAAUUGAAACGCAUGCCCUAGCUACUGUAUACAUGUGUGUCAGAUUCGUGACAUUGUACAUGUGUAUACUCACUUUAUCAUCCUGCUUUUCAAUAAAUGCAACCUGCCAUUUUGAAGCAUUCACUGAGAAUCUAAUGUGCAUGGUAUAGUGUUACAACUCAACACUUGUUGUGUUGUUAUUGUGUGUUUAGCUUACCGAAAUAAUUGGGCAGGUUUUGCUCCGUCUUGUUUGGCUUUCCUCAGGUAGUCAUAGAGAUCUGCUGGAUUCUCCCAUUUUGGGCUGACCAAGACGUCAACGUCUAUCGAUAGCUCUCGAUCUUGCUGGUCAUAUGUCUUGUAUUUCAGUGACACAGACAUUUUUAGUGGUGUUUGAAGCAUGACACUCCGUAGACCUCCCAAAAAGCUUCGCAGUUUGUGUAGAGGCGUACGAUAUCCUUCACUCAGGACAGUGUCUGGAUCCACACCUGUAUAAUUAAGUGUACUUGAGUCUCAUUAAUUAAAGUAAGCCCCCUUCCGCUAUUUGAGGUUUCCUAUAAUUAUGUAUAGCGAGGUUUGUUAUGUAAUGAUUAUGUGUAGAGUAUCGACAUUUUAUCUCAGCAUAUGUAUUUGCUGCACGAAAAAUAUUGUUUGUAGGGCAGCCAAGUGAGUAACUUACUCUCUGAGUAGACCACUAGGUCCACAUCGAAGUUGCCUGGAAUGGCUGUGUACUGACCAAGGGAGCCAGCCUUGAGCACCUGGACUCUGUUCAGGCCAUGUCUAUGAUGCUAGUGAAUAUAUGUGUUCAUGCUAGUUACCAUAAUUAUAUACAUGUAGUAAAUGUGACACAGAUAUGUUCCCACCCUGGUCGUGGUGAUUAGUACAAACAUAGAUUGAAGAGUUAGAGGGAUAGGAAACGGUUUGUAUCUCGAGUAACAUCCGCGCUACGCUGCGGUUUAAUCGAGGCCAUCACAACAAUAUCUAUUUCUACACCCAGUGCAUAAUAAACUACAAGUAACUGUGCUUAGUCCGUGCAACUCACUUAUAUUUCUAGGUCUAUACCUAUUGUAGUAGUCAUAACCAGCACGCUUACACGUUACAUGUUCCAAUAGCUCUAAAACAGCCUUGGGAACAUAUAACUUUAUUGGAAAGUCUCUUUUUACUGGGUGUGGUCAGUCAUUAGCAAGUACUAUACACGUGGCUCAUGGACUAUAGGGGUGUUAUAAGUUGCUGAAAGAGAUGAUGUCUCGAGGAAACACAGCUUUGGGUACCCGGCAAAAAUGUGCUUAAUAGCCUCGUUCAUAGGGCGUAAUGCGGAUAAUUUUCGUGGCUCCACUGCAGAUUCAAUGUAAAAUCAUCACGUGCACCACUCCGUUUCCUAUCCCUCUAACUCUUCAAUCUAUGGUACAAACUACCUCGAGAAAAUUGCUCUAGACAAAAAUAACCACCUCUUAUAGGCACAGUUUUACCACAUAAUACUAAUAUGCUAAACCACAGGCAAUUUGUGUGAUUGGAAUUAGCCACCACCUGGGCACAUCAGUGGCACUGAUAUCGACUAUCGAUCCUGACUUACUUUUAUUUCUCUUGCAAGCUCAUCCACAACUCUCAUAGCAUCAUCAAAUGUGAUGUCCUUGUUCCUUGCCAUCUUCUCUCUCUUUUUCUUUUCACUGGUCAACUUCUAUAUACCAGUCAGCUGUUAUAUAGGUUAGUCAAUGGUUGUGGGUUUCCCCAUUUUCCUACGAACAGUAUUCAUAUUUGGCUAAUAUUAGAAUGAUUAAUCAUGAGGAUGACGUGCUAAUUUUGUUUUGUAGACAAGCCAAGAAUAGUCGUCACUUGAUGAUGAAACCUACUUCAUGUAAUAAUUAUGCCUCGAGGCGUAGCCGCACGAGGGAUACGGUAAAGCUGACUGUGUGUGUGUGUGUGUCUGUGUGUCUGUGUGUCUGUUCCAGCUGUAACUGCUCAACGGUUGCAAUGCGACAAAAACUAACAGCUUCUAUAGGCUUCUAGCCACGUUCUCUUGGAUUUUGAUUCGUGGAUUUGCAAACUAAAGCUUCUUUCUCGAGUUAUGGCUAGUUUGACUCACAUUGAAGGCUGUUGCAGUCUCUUCAGAAUCUUUCAUAGCAUCAUCUGUCCGCACAAACUUUCUAUUCAACAUAUGAGUUAGCCUUGCACUAAAGCGCUAGCUUUUUGUUAGCUACAAUACUCAGAAAAUAUCUGUUAAAACAGCUAGCUAGCAGUAGCCAUUUGUGAAAUUGAUCUCUUUGGACACACCCUUUAAUUAUUCCUGUGUAUGUAAUGCGCAUGCGCGCUCAUUCCCCACGUGUGAGAAAAUAAUAAUAUCCAAGAUCCAGAUCCAGAUCCUCCUGGCAGAAUCAUCUUUGUCUUGAAGGCCUGGUAAGCCACAAAACACUACCAUAUAACAAUAUAGAUAACAAUAUGCAUGUACACAGGUCUUUUCUUCUUAGAUAUUAUAUACACUGAACUACAGAUCUUGGAAGAAUCAAUUUUUUUCUUUCUUGAGGUCCUAGUAAGCCACAUAAUACAACAAUAGAUGCAUGUAAAUAAGUCUUUUCUUCUCAGUGACUUUAUAUAGAUAAGCUAACUUUAAUAUAAAAUUCAUUAUAGAAACUAAUAUAACACUCUAAUACUUUUCAGCGAAAGCAAAAACAUGGCGAGAGGCAUUAGCACAGCGCCAGCUUGAACACUAGUUAUGUACAUGUACCUACGGUGUACUUCAUUGUACAGAUGUCACUUGAUUAUGUGUUUGUGUGGGUGUGUGCAUGCAUGGGAGGUUUUAUAGUAUACUUGGAAUUUGGGUUGUUUGUUUGAACUGCUACUAUGACUUGCAGAAAAUAUUUUCAUGGAAAAUUUGAUGCAGAUGAAUUUACUACCAGUAUUCAUGGCUUUGUGGAGGCAUACAAUGAAUAACGAACUAUGGUAGUAGGGCACAGCUAUCCUUUGAUGUAUAUAGGGGCUUUAUUUGCCAAUAUGCCAUGUCAUUCUGGUACUUACUGUGUCACCUUCCGUGUACGUAAAAUUGUGCAUGGUAGUAUACAAUAAAUCACGUUUGCUUUACGAAUGUACAUUUUACAUUCGGUUUUAUCAUUUACACAAAUUUGUCUCUGAAGCUAUUAUAACUAGGCAACUAGUCUUACAUUACAAUGUAUAUAUACACACCUGAUACUCUAAGCACACAGGUUAAUGUUUUAUAGUUCCAAGUCAUGCUUGGCUACACUAGACGCUGUAGCAGGUCCACUGAGUGUAUGUUCUCUACCAGCUCAGACCACCCGUCGCCUCUCUGACCACGACUCUUGGCGACGCCCGUGUCAUACAGAUUAUUGGCUGGGUUGGCCGGGUCAACGAUACGCGGCAGUGAAGUUGGGAAGAGGUUGGGACCAGAGGGCACACCUCCACCCACGCUAUAAAACUUCUCCCAGUAGAUACUGUAUGCAAUGCAAUCAUACAUGAGAUAAAUUAAUACGUACCAUAUAUUGCUGACUUACUCUAUGCCGUGGCGGUUAAGGAGGAGAUUCUUCAGCUCAUCCAUUGUGCUAUAGUGUGUAUAUACAUAUCAUUUGUGUAGUUUAAAGUGUUUUUAGCUUACGCUUCGGCGAUCCUCCUUGUGUUGGAAGUUCCCAUUCUCUUUGUGGCCUUCUCGUAGGCGUUGAGUACGAGUAAAGAGAUGAGGUAGGACUUGGGCUUGUUGGACAGCUUCCUUUCGGACCAGAGCUUGUUACGCCAAGCCUUUGCACGCUUGAUAAGCUCCUUCACCUGUAGCUCAGUGUAAUUGUCGAUCAUGCCUUAGGCUAUACAGUACCUGGUUAGGUUGUUGCUCAAAGAACUCCACCUGCCAUUUAGCUGCACACACAGAGUACCUGCACACGUACAGCAAUAUCUAAAAACUGCAGCCCCACCUUUGUAUGCAUGGAAUGGCCAUGUAUUUGCAAUUGCAAUGUAAUUUGUCCGUUUAAAUUACCUGCUAUAUAUACUGUUAACUGUACUCACUCGUAUCUUUCUUCUUUUGGGACACCUCGGAGGAAGUCGUAAAAGUCGUGUUGGUUGUUCCAGUACGGACUAACCAGGAGGUCAACAUCGAUAAUGUCGUCAAACUUAAACUGGACGGAAAACUUGGUCCGUUUGGUUAUCACGACUUUGGGCUGUCUUUCGAGAAACGUCUC